AUUAAUUAUUAAAUGCUUUUUAUUCAUUUUUUUUAUUGGUUUAAAUCAUUAUCCUUUUGUUUCUUUCCAUUCCCAAUGCAAAGAAAAUACAUAUAAAUUAUUAUUUUAUGUUUAAAAUUUGACUUAUCAAUUGGAGAUCAAAAGUUUAAAAGAUGUCAAAGUGUCACGUAAGCCUUCAAAUUUAAAUUUUAGGUUUAAAAUUUGACAUCUCCUUUGGUAAAAUAUCCAAAAUAGACGUACCAUUUCUUAAUAGUUUUUCUUUAAAAAAAAAAAAAACUAAAAACAAAAAGCCUCGCAUCCGACGUUUCACUCUCUCUCCCCUCAAAAAUGGUCAUUUUCAAAUGCCAAUUUUGUUAGAGCAACUCCACCAUUGCAAAGGCCCCUAGGACUAUUCAUUAUUUAAUCCAUCAAGUAAACAGUAACUGCCUUAAUCAACAGUAACCGUCUUUUGCAUCUCUACCCCUACACUGAAUAGCCAUCACAAUAUGCAAUAAAAUAAUACAAAAUAAUUUUAUUUGUAAUUUCGAAUAAAAAUUUUAAUCGUUCUCGUUGUGCCACGUGUCAUUAUCCAAAAAGACAAUUAUUGGUGAUGAAUUUUGAUAAGAUUUGUAUCCAAUGUCAUCGUGCCACGUGCCGUUACCUUUUUAAAAUCGUUGAGGAUAGAUUUCCGAUAAGAUUUUUAACCAAAUAUGUCGCGCCACGUAUCACAAUCUGUUUACGAUCUUUGAGAAUAGAUUUCGAUCAGAUUUUUAACGAAUGAUGGCAUGCCACGUGACAUUAUCUACAACCUAAUUCUUUCUAAAUCCUCCAUAUAAUCCACCAUCAAUCCUUAGAAAUCUCACACCAAUUUUCUCAAGAUCUCUAUCAUUAUUCAUAGUUUCUGCUUCAUUCUUCACCAAAAUGUUUGAUUUAGAGUCACUUCGAUCCAUCAUGAUGACGUGCAUCAUUCUCCACAACAUGAUUGUGGAAGAUGAGUAUGAUUAUGAUGCCAUUGAUGAAUAUGAGCCAGACACGAUGAACAAUUCCAGAACACAAAUAUAUUGUGCUCAUGACGUUACCGAAUAACCCAUGCAGCAUGAGCCAUUAGAAAGGGAUGGACGUUACAAUUAAAUGCUCAUUCAACGAUAUACUGUACUUCAAAGGCCAUAUAUGCACAAUGCCCGACAAAUUGACUUGAUAGAGCACCAGUGGAAAUUGAAAUAAGUUCAAGAUACUUAAGUUCAUUUAGUGUGUUUGUUUUUAUUUGGUGUGUUUUUUAAGUUCAUUUAGUGAGUUUUUAAUUAUUUAGUAUGUUUAUGUAAUUUUAUUUGGUGUGUUUAUGUCCUUUGAAUAAAGAUUGUCUUAGUUUAAAUAAAUUACCAAAUUAAAUAAAUAUACUCUUAGUUUAAAUAAAGUACUAUAUUAAAUAAAUAAGAAAUUACAAUCCAAAGUGAUUGGAAAAUUAUGGGCUCUGAUUACAAACAAAGUGAUGGGAAAAUUAUGGGCUCGUGAAUGGAAAAUCAUCACCUAACCAAUUUGUGGUGCUAGGAUCAUCUUCUCAUGUGGUGCUAUGACCAUCUCCUCUUGCUCUUGCUUCUCUUGCACGCCUCCUUUGCACCAAGUCUGCUUUCUCUGAAUUCCAAAAAUAUUUAGAAUUCGGAGACUUCCCUUCUAAAGGUGUGUUCAUAAUGUCACAAUCUCAUUGAGCCCUUAUUCUCUAAUCUCUUCCCUGUCUUGCCUAAGUAGCUCUCUUUCUCUCUCAUUAGCUUGAAAUUCUCUCACAGCAGCUGUAGCUUUUGCCUCCUCUCUAGCCUUAUUAGCCUUAAAUUUAGCCAUUUCUCGCGCCAAAGUCAAUUCACCUUGGCGAGCAAGUUCUUCCAUAUACUUUGCAUAAUCAUUCUUGGAAGCACUCCCUUUUCUCUUUGAAGCCUUCGUACCUUGAGGCCUAAUUGGAUAACGGGUCGACCCCGACGCUUGUUCAGGGAGAGUUUCCGACAUUUGUUCUGGGUCAUCUUUAUGAACAUGCAAGGCAUGAUCGGGCGUAGAAUGUAGAGGGGUGUUAUUCAUGACAACUUCUGGACCAAUAGGCACAAUUCUGAAUUGAGGACAAUCUUUGACAAUAUUCCAACAUUCCCACCGGGUGAUGAUUGCUUUUGGUUUUUGGAUUUGGCAUUAUACCAAGAUUGUGCUAGAAGUGUCUACACAAUGCGGGAGAAUAAAUAAUUAUAAUCAAAGUAGGUAAUAUAAAUAUGGGUAUAGUACAAACAAAUAAAUAAUAUAUUGUUACUUGAUCCGCUAAAUUUUCCCCACUUCGAAGAUUAUAACUAGCUUGUGCCACGUCAUCUCUCCACAUACUAAACGAUUGGCUAAGUAUUCUCUAACGACUGGACAUCGAUUCUUUGGUUCUUUUCCCAUCAAUUUUCUCAAAAUAAUUGGCAUGAAUAAGACUCCACAUUUCUCGUAACUGCAUCUCAUUACCCGUAAUCGGAUCAUUAGUAACUUCAACCCAGCUAGUACACAACGUAACAUCUUCAAUAAGUGUCCAAUUUGUACCUGCAUCAUUAGUCAUUUUGUUGGAAAAAAAAAUUGGAUUUAAACUUUGAGAGAAAGAUAGGAAUGUGGUUGAAACUAGUUGACAAAAUAUGAAAUUGUGGUGUAAGGUAGAAGAUAAUCAGAAUGUAUUUAUAUAAAAGUAAAAUUGUUUUUUUUAAUUUUUCAAUUUUUUUUCGGAUUUUUAUUAAUUUUUUAUUCACAUAAGUAAUCUCUACCAUUGGAUUAAAAAAAAUUUUGAAUUCCAAUUCUCUAGAUUGUGCCACGUGGCACAACGGUAAGAUUUUAGAAUUUAAAACUGUUUUUUCUUUUUUUUUUAAUUUAUAAAGCCGAAUAACGUGGACCGUUGAUUUCAAAUCCAAUGGCUGAAAUUAAAUAAGGUUUUAAUUUUUUUUUUACCGUUGGAAAUCCAACGAUCCAUAAAAUGUUGCCAUUGAAAUCCAACGGACGUGGGGAAGUCACAUGGCCUCCCCAACAGUAACAUUUCAGAAAAACGUCGUGGGCCCCAUGUCUAAAACAGUGUUGGACGACGUGCGCCCAUGCGCAUGCUCUUAGCGCAAAAAAGAGAGAAAACGUGGCUGACGUCAGCCUUGCAUCAUACCCACUUUGGUAAUUGCAGGACAUAAGAGUACAAGAUUUGGUAAUUGGGUUUCCACUUAGUCUCAUUAAUACCUAAAAACAAUCAUUUAACAUAAAAAGAUCAAUUGCGACAUUCGUAUGCGUGUAACAAGAGACUAGUAUAUAUUAAAAGAAAUAUCUUAUGAAAUAUAGAUUGUAAUUUCAUAUUAUAGUAUAUAAAAAGAAUUGUUAUUGGCACUCCAAAUUUUUUAUAUUUAGAAAGAAAAAAAAAUACUCUUAUAAAGAGUAUAAAAUAAGAUAUUUGAAGUGCAAAUAAGAGUUCGUAAAUAAUUUAGUAAUAAUUUGAAGUGCAAAUAUAAAAAAUUUGGAGUGCCAAUAACAAUUUUUUUUAUAUACUCUAAUAUGAAAUUACAAUCUACGUUUCAUAAGAUAUUUCUUUUAAUAUAUACUAGUCUCUUGUUACACGCAUAUCGCAAUUGAUCUUUUUAUGUUAAAUGAUUGUUUUUAGGUUUUAAAUUUAAUUAUUUUUUGUAAUAAAAAAUAUUCCAAAAAAAAAAAAAAAACAGAAGACUACUACGUGGGUUUUCUUUUCAUUUUUUUAAUGUAUAACCUUCAUCUCAAAAUUCAAACUGUCUUGAUUACUAUUUUGUCCCUUAUUAAUUAAGUUGUUUUUUUUUUCAAAAACUUUAAUAAAGGAGGGGCAUUUUGAACGUUUAACCCUUUCAUCCUUCUCACUUUAUAUACAGAGAUUCUUCAAAAUACACCCCAAAUCAUCCUAAUGUUCUUACUUAUUUUCUCGAUCUUCACUUUUACCCUUCAUUAUUGAGCAAAACUGAAAUCACUAAAAGCAAAAACACUUCGAAUAAAAAUAUGUUAACUUGACGAUGAAACAUAAAAUCUGCGUUUUUAGCUCGCCGUUCAUUUUACUAUUAUUCGAAAAAGCACUACUAUGGGUUGUUUAUCAAAGAGAUAAACUUUGAAACAAUUGGAAAGGAAUUUGAAUUCCAGAUACCUAAGUUCAUGUAAUGGUCAUCCAGAAAUCAGAUGAACUACCAAGUUUCUUAUGAUGAAGAAAAUAUACAAAUAAGUACUCUUGAGUUUUCAUAAUUCAAAAAAUAGAUGUGGGGUGUAUUCAAAUAAACUUUAAUUUAAAAAAUAGAUGUAGGUUGUAUUAGGUAUGUGAGGUGUAGCCACCAAAAUAUGGGGUGUGAAUAAAAUAGCUCAAAAAAGGUCACUUAGUACUACGUUUUAGUGAUAUUUCUUUUCAAUUGUAAGUGAAAUGUUUUAUGUUUGAUUCUCGUCAAAGACGAAUUUGAACCUCAUUAUUGCUAGCCUAUUGUGUGACUUAGCCCACUCCUCCAUUUCAUCCCUAAUGUAGAUAAUAUCAUUUUUUCAAAAAAAUAAAAAUAAAAAUCUAUUGCAGGUGGACACUUUAGUGGGUCAACCAAUGAUCGGAAUCCAAUUCUUCAUUAAUCGGAAUCUAGUUCUUGAUUUCCUAGUGUUUAUUAAACAUAUAAUUAUUCACUAAUCGGAAUUCAAUUCUUUAUUUUGAUUCCAAUUAACGGUAGGUAAACAGGUCAUUCCUGGCUUUAUGAAGAGUGAUAAAAUCUAAAAGUUUCAUAAUGUUCAUGCAUGCAAGCAUCCUCUAUUUUAGCUUUUCUUCGAACAAUUUAUUUUCAAAUACACCUUCUUCUGGCGUGCGGAAGGGGAAUGGAAUGAGAGAAAUGAAAAUUGCACCCAUUCUAAGUCAUUCAGUAGCGUGUUUACGUAUCUGUGAUGGGAAUAAAUAUAGGGAAUUGGAUUUCGAUUAUGAAGAAUUCAAAUGUUUACAAAUUUUGAAAGAAUCAAGAGAGUGAUAGAGUUCACACAAAAUAAGGAAUUCAAUUCCUAAAAGUGGAGGAAUUGAACUCCCUAUAUUGAUGAGGUAUUUGAAUUCCAUGAGGGUGAGGGAAUCGGAAAUGCAAGCCUUCUUCCUAUUAUGCCCUCUUAUUAUUUUUAAAAUUUCAAUCUGCAAGCCAUUUCCUUCUAUUUUUCUUCGUUUUUUUUCUUGAUACAAACCAAAGGGCUAGCUGUUUGAUAUAUCAUAUACGCACACAAUAUAUGUAAACAAGAAGAGUGCUGAGGAGGUGGAUGAGGGCAUGUUAAAACAACUAAUUAAAAUGUUAUUAAAAAAACAUAGAUGAAAUAAAACAAAAAAGAACAAGGGCAUUUUAUUAUCAUAUUGAUUUCUAUUCCGAUUUAGGUGAAUUUGUAAACAACUUAUAUGAACUCAGUUUUAUUCCUACUCCGAUUUCAGAAUAUUUAAGUAAACAACUUUAACAAGAAUCUAAUUCUAACUCAUCUUCAAUUCAAUUCCUCCUUAAUUUAAUUCAUCUGAUUUUGAUUAUGGUUAUGUAAAUGAGCCACAAGUAUUUGCAUUUACCAAUACUUGGAGAAUGAAAAUACAUAUAGACCCACCUAAAAUGGAGAAUCAUACUCCUUAAACUUCUAGAAUUGGAUUCUUGAGAUUGGUGUGGUAUUUGAAUUCAGUCUAAUCAUACUUAUCUUCUACUGUCGAACCACUAACACCAAUUUAUACCUAAAAAUUUGUUUAGCAACCUCUAAAACAAAUUUGACAUUCUCCAAAUUUUGAAAUCACCAUAGCUCACCAAAAUUGCAGCGGGAAAUUGAAAAAAAUAAGAAAGCAAAAACCAAAACAAGAACAAAACAAAAACCUUGCUCCCCAUUGGUCAAUCACUUACCACGCGGAUAGCUACCCUGGCGUCCACUACCGUCGAUAAGACCCCCAUCUGACGGUCCCAAUCCUCUAACCAGCUUCUCAAGCCUUCGAUAUCCCCUGGAACAAUAUGAUCCACAAUACAUCCCACUCUAUAAAGCACAUCCUCUUAACUGAUUCCCAAAUCCACUGUCUGAACAUUGGCAAUUCUUUCUCUCCGUUUCCGAUUUGGGUUUUUGAGUCAGAAGGGUGUCUCAGGUUCUCAGUGAAUUUUAGUGCGGUUAGGGUUUGAGAUAUGGAGACUGGUGGUAAGUUGAAGAAAGGUGCCGGAGGAAGGAAGGGCGGCGGUCCGAAGAAGAAGGCGGUGACCCGGUCCGUCAGGGCCGGCCUCCAGUUCCCAGUCGGAAGAAUCGGCCGCUACUUGAAGAAGGGACGGUAUGCGCAAAGAGUCGGGUCUGGAGCUCCGGUUUACUUAGCCGCUGUGCUCGAGUACCUCGCAGCUGAAGUAAGUCUCUUUCUCUAUGACCUCUUUUCUCUCUCUAGAUCCAUAUGUGAGUUUGAUCUUGUUUUGGUAGCUAAGGUUUGAGCUUUGAGUAUCGGGGUUGUGUUUAAUUUUUGUGGUUUAGGGUUUGUGUUAGAUUUCUGCCCGAAAUUUCUGUUUGGUUGCUGAGAAAAUUUCUGAUGUGGGUUUCUUGGUUUUUAUCCAGGUCCUGGAGUUGGCUGGAAAUGCAGCUCGGGACAACAAGAAGAACAGGAUUAUCCCAAGGCAUCUGCUACUGGCCGUGAGGAACGAUGAGGAGCUUGGAAAAUUGCUUGCUGGUGUGACCAUUGCUCACGGCGGUGUGCUUCCAAACAUCAACCCGGUCCUCCUGCCCAAGAAAUCAGAGAAAGCCGCCGGAAAGGAGCCAAAAUCUCCAACCAAGGCAACCAAGUCUCCAAAGAAGGCUUAGGUUCUCUCAGUGAAUCAAUCCCAGCAAAUGUUUAGUCAAAUCCCCACAUGUUUAGAUUUAGUUUGUGACCCCUCCCCAUUUGUAUGUAGUCUGUAUGCAGCAGGUCUUUGUCUUUCGUUUGUUGUAGGAGAAAAGAGAAAUCGAGACUUGAACUUCCAUUGAAUUUGAAAGCAGUUGUAAUCCUUCAAAAUCUUGUGUGAUCUUGUCAUGUUUUAGGAGCUUUGAUUUUCUUGGAAUUCCAUUUAUGAAAUUGAAACCCCUUGUUUCUUUCAUUGCCUCAAGUAGUAGUUUGUUUGAUGAGAUUUGAAGGUUUGGUAAUGAUGCCUUUUGAUGUGAUGUUAUUUGUCAAUUGGUUGCUUUGUGAAUUGUUUGAAGAAAAGGGACCUCUUUUUUGUUUUUAUCAAGCAUAAUCUGCACCCUUUAUCCAAUAUUCCUUUUGCCUUUUAUACCACCUUUCUUUACUGUAAUGACUUGGUAUUAGUUUGGUGUCUACGAUUGGAUUCAAUAACUUAAUACAGUUAAAGAUAUGUUAAAAGAAUAAAUGGAAUAAAUUUUUUUUUGUUUUUUUAAUCUUGGAUUUAAGGUAGUUAAAUUUCUCACGAAGGAAACUUAUUCCAUUCAAUUCUUUGAAAAUGAUGAUUAAGGGCUUGCUUGGUAUGCAGGAUAUGAUUGGAACUAACAAUUCUCUUAUUUUAAGGCAUAUUGAUGGUUGAAAAUGAUUUUUGGUUGAAGGGGAUGAGAAGAGGAAUACAUAUGAAGAAAAUUCAUUCCUUCUAAUUCUAUCAUUUUGGAGAGGAUCUGAAUGGAUAAGUUUUUUUUUUCAUGAGUAAUUCAUCUUCUAAUCUCUUAUUGGUUUUAAGUUUUUCAUUUCUCACCUUAAAAUACCAUAAAAUUAGGAGUUAUCCAUUCCAAUUCAAUCUUAUAUACCAAACGAGCCAUAACUUCCUUCACGUCCUCUAAUCCCUUCAAAAUGAAUGUCAUUUAUCUUGAAAUUGAUGAGUUCAAUCCAAUGAAAUCUUUGGAGCAGACGAGACCUCAGACCUUGGUGUUUUUAGGCAGAAUUGCUCAUUGGAAAUUGGCAUUUGAUGUGUAGAGUUGAGAAAGGAGAAAGGAGAGUAGAAAUUGGAAGUGGGAAACCCUUUUGUUGAUGUGAGUAGUUGAAUCAUUUAAUCCUAUGCGUUCACCUUCUGCACUACAUAUGUGAUUGAUUUGGAUUUGGCUAUGUUCUGUAUCCUUUUUAUCUUUUUUGAGGGUCUGAAAGAAAAAUACCAGUAGACCAAUAAUUAGACAGUAAUGACUAUGUAUUUUGAUAUCUGUUGCACGAAAUUUAUUGUUACCAUUAAAAUUACUAUUUGGUUCUCGGAAAUAAUCACGCCGAAAUAAUUUGGUGAAGCUCUCUUCCUCUUGUGUUCAAUGCAGGAACAUUCUUGCAUAGGAAGAAAUAUCGUUGAAUGGUUUGGUGUUCAUCGAUAUAUAGCGGACACUUGAAAAUGGAUUGCCAGAUGCUAAUUUUGCUACUUUCUUCAAUUUUCAAGAAUUAUAUUGGCUUUUGCUGUUACUUGUAUGUAUGUAGGUAGAGGAUAUGGGAAUGAGCAUAUGAUAGGAAGCAGACCCUAAGAGUCUAUGUCCAUUUUUUUGAGAUGACAUUUUCAUUACAUUCUUUAUCGUAUACGUGAGUGAUUUUUAGCUACUUAUUAAUAUAAUACAUGGAUUGGAAUUUAUAUAAGCUAUGAAGCACGGAUACGGAUGCGGUAAUACGAAUUUGGGAGCAUGAAAAAUAAAAAAAUGGGAAUUUGGUAGCAGCGGGGAUUCGCCAAUUAAAAAGGUUUAAAUAACGCACCCUGUCUCACUUCAAAAUUCAUGUGUAGGACAAAAACAGUGUCGUUUUGUGAGUCAGGGUAGGGACUGCACUUCAUCUUCUAUCCGCAGCUUCUUUGGAAGGCGGAACCACUGAGCGACAGCCGUUCACACAGCCGCUUCAAGCCGCUACCAACCGAACCCAGGCAAACCAGGCGAAUCCGCUCCCGGGGCGCCAAACGGCACCGGUUCAAAGAAUCCGUGCUCAUUUUACUUUCACCCAGCCGGAGGAGCAUCGAGCUUUCAGUCAGCUCAUGACGGAAGCGUUUUGCGGCCAUAUUCCUCCCAAUAGACCGGCGCACGCUAAGGUGAAAUGAGAGGCGCAAAUGGCGUAGUUGGUAUUCUGCGCACGUCUGUCCUGGCCAGGAUUUUAUUGACUCGCCACUCUUGCUCCAAAUUGUUUGUUGCAGGUCUGCCAAAACCUAACCCUUUUGCUUUGAUUUGUUUCUCUUAGAAUUUUAUUUUUCGAUAUUCUCCUCGGUCGAUCUUGUUCUAAGUUAAAAUUCUUUGGUCGAAAUCUUAUUGCCAAUGCAUCAAAUAGCCAAACUCCAAUCCCAUUUCGCUGUAGAUUAGAGUAGUUUAGAAUAUCGCGUUUAUAUAUAGAUUGUUGAUAAAAGAUAUAACCGUGAAAUUUUGGAUUUUAAGUUCUACUGCUUUUGAUAUUGUAAAGAUCAUGGGUUUGGAGACGUGGAUUAUGCCAAUUGGAAAGGGCAUUUUACCCGGCCUUUCACACGCAAGUUCGAAUCUGUAGAUUAGAGCAGUUUAGAAUAUCGGCUUAGAUUUGAAUUGUUGAUAAAAGAUAUAACAACUAAAUUUUGGAUUUUAAAUUUGUUUGAGGCACCGAAGUAGGGGAAACAAGUUCCGACAGCUUUUGAUAUAGUAAUUAUACUGCAGCCUAAGCUAUCUGUAAUAUGCAGGGCUUUCCUGGGAUACAAAUGAACCUGUUCUUAAGGAAGCUUUCGGAAAACAUGGUGAAAUAAUUGAAGGUAGUGUUAAACUCUUUGAGGCUGGCAAUAAUUUCGUAGGUCUUUAUUUUCUUGUAGAUGAUGCAAGGAUACCAAUUAUUUACUUGAGAAUUUAUGUCGAUGUGUUAAACAGUUAAAGUUAUUUGUGAUCAUGUGAGUGGGAAAUCGAGAGGGUAUGGAUUUGUGAAAUUUACCUCUGAAAGUGAAGCCACCAUUGCUCUCAAGGAGAUGGAUGGUCAGGUAGUUUUGUCCAUCAUGAUUAAUUUCUUUGUAAUUUGCAUGUGUCGAAAACUUGAAAUCACCCUACUAGCUACCUUAUUAGGAACACAAAGUAAUAUUAUUGCUCCAUGUUUGUGUUACUUUUCAGGUUCUGGAUGGCAGACAAAUCCGCUUGCAAUUUGCACACAAGGAGUAGUGACAUUGAUCUGAGGUAAAAUUUACUUAGUAGAUAAAAGCUUUUUACGAUUUAAGUGUUUGGUCACACUACUCUGUGCUUUGGUUCUUUCCAUGGAGUUUACUAAUCAAGUUCUGUACCAUAUAAUUUUCGUUGGCUGGAAUUCCUUUUACAGUUGGCUUUGUAUUCAUUCGUUACCAGUUGCUUCCAUAUGCUAGUCAUGCCUUACAUAACAAAUAUCCAUUUUUUCACGGGAAAUAAGUUGCCAAUUUUUCAUGUUGCAUAAACCAGGAAAAUUUAACAUUUUGGGAAGCGUUUUGGGUUAGAAAAAUGAUUUAGCUUCAAAAUUUCUUGCUUCUCAUCGAUGAUAAAGCAGGUUCUAGGCUGAUUUUGGCUUUUCAUAUUUCUGUCUCACAAAUUGCUUCUAUUGACCAUCAAUUGAUGCUGCUAGAAUGAAAACUGGUGGCAGGAUUUAGCUUACAAUUGUCCAAUUGAUAAUGUAUAGCAUAAAGUUGUUUAAUUUGAUUACAAAACAUGCAUGUUCUAAGGGACUACGGAUGGUGGUAGGGAGCAUAGCGUUAACUUGCUCCCAUUUGCUCCCAGGACAUAUUUGUCUUGAACAUAAUAGGUGAGAUCCAGAAAGCUGGUUUUUUGUUUGUUUCGGAGCCUGUAUAAUUUACUUUAGGAUGCUUCCUCUAAGUGGUAAUAUCAUGUCUUGUUGCGUGUUUGAGCAGGUACAGUGGAUUGGAGGGGGCAUGCAGCAUGCCGCAUGCUGUGGUAGGUAGUGGUAACCAGCAAGUCCAAAUUUAAGUUGCCCACAAAUUGUUGUUGUCCAUUGACAAUUCUGUAAAAUUCUGAGUGAUAAUUUUUUCCAGUUAGUGUCGUCAUCUAUGAAAUCAAGAUAUUUGAAGAGAUUUGAUCAAACGUUACGGUGAAACACAUACGUCUCCCGUACCAUAAAGAGACAUUCCAUCAAGUUUAUAUCCCCUCAUGGCGGUUCUUUGAAAUGAUCUGAAUCGAAAACUUGGCUUACGACUGGUUUUGGAUCUUUUGGUACGGCAAGGGUAGCAUGUCCAUGGGGUAGCAGUUGGAUGUUCAUACACAAUGAUAGGGAAAGAACUAAGACCUUCAUGCCCUUCUUGCCCCUGCCCUCCAUUCCAUCUUGGUGUAGUUUUGCAUCCGUACAUAUAUCACAAACUCUGUUGGUUUUUGCUAUAAAAACAGGUCUUAGUUCUGUGAAAAAACAAAAAUGAGAAUAUGCACAAGUUUUUGUUGUUUGUGGGCUUUUGGAGUGAGAAUAUGGAAAUGUUUGUGUUGUUUGUGAGAUUUUGAGGAAACUAAACUUAUCGAGAUCGGUUUAGAGUAUGGGUGGGCACGAUCUGAAUCCAGAUGGGCGAUAACAUAGAAAUAAGGAGGUGGACGGGAAACAUAGAUUGGAUAAAGAAGGGAUCAGAAUAUGGAGCACAAGUAGAUUCGGUCGAAACAUUGGGGACAUAAUGCAGGCCGACGAGCACGCAGAAAAUAAAAGAAGAAAUAGAGAAACAUGAGAUGACCACCGACCCUCUGUUUGGCCAGGGCCAGCGACGGAGAAGGGAGGAAGCUCCAUGAGAUGGCCACCGACCCUGGAUCUGGCCAGGGCCAGCGACAGAGGGAGGAAGAAGUAAACAUCAAACUCUCACAAGGAGAAGGAACUCUAAUGAGCUCUCUCACGAAGGGGAGUAUUUUAAGACUUUUGUACUCUCGUUAAUGCGUAGUGCAAACUAUAUAUAAGAGAAACAAUCAAGAAUAGUAAUCUCAUCGUUUAGCAUAAGCGAAGUUGAAUUCUCAAUCCUUAUUUCUCAAACUCUAUAUCCCUUUUCAAUGCGGAAAAAAAAAGAAAAAAAAAAAGAAAGCAUGGUAAUCUGAUUUGAGUUCAAUCCUAAACCAUUCCAUUUUCGUCGAUUCAACCGGCCAACACUGAAAGCUACAAAGCAUGUGGGCAUGAAGACAUAUUGAACAAGACAAUGACCAAGUUAACUUCCCUCAAGAAUAGGUAUCGUUUUCAUGCCUUCCAGUCUGGGCAACUUCAACAAAAAUCAGCCUCCCGUCAACCAUCUGGACAAAUUAUCAACAAAUUAAGAUUUCAGAAGAGAAAGAGGUCGAAAAAGCACAACAAAACAAGGGAUGCUGGCAAUUUGAUCAACCAAACACACAUUCAGGGAUAAAAGACCAGAAAUGCUUGACAAACUGCAGUCUAUAGCAUCUCUAUCAAUUCAAUUUGACUAAUUUCAAUAUUAAAUUGAAAAACGAAACAAAUUUACAUAAUUUAACAGCAUAAGAACACUUCUGAUACGAGUGAAUUAACCACUUUAAUCUGAAAAAAAUAUGGAUUUGUGAAUUGGGUUUUGUUUUUCCCAUAGGAAGGAAAUUACCCUGCCAUCCAUUGCCUUCAAAGCUUUUUGUGCCUCAACAUCUGACUGGUAAGUAACAAAACCAAAACCUUUUGGUCUAUCAGUUCGACGAUCCAUAAUUAACCUAGCUAAACAAACAAAUCAAAAAAUCACAAAGGAAAAACCAGUCACUAAUUUUCCACAUAUUACGGAGUAAAAAAAAUAAAGAAUUAGAGAAAAUUAAUAUGGAAAAAAAAAAAAAACCUUCUGUAACAUUUCCAAAAGGAGAGAACAAUUUCCUGAGCUGUUCACUGGAAGUGAACGAUGAUAACCCUGAAAAACAAAUCCAGGAAAUCAGAACACAAAAACCCAAAACAUAAAAUUUGAGAGAGAGAGAGAGAGAGAGAGAGAGAGAUUACUGCUGACGAAGAGCUGCGAGCCUAAUCUUUUGGCCAUCUCUGUGUGUUAACCCAAAUCCCGGAUUUCUAUUUAUUUUGAUAAAAAGUAGUGAACGAGCAGUUUUUGUACUUUAAAGCUAAAUUGGGAAUUUAGGGUUCAUCACUUCGAAGUUGUAAAUUAGUAAACUCACUUGUGCCCAGAUGCUAGAUAUUUGUUGAGCUUUAUUGGGCUUUGUUAUUGCUAACCAUCUGGCCCAUAUUCAAAAGGAGUUGAUCCAAUGUCUGCCAUGCCCAAAUUAGUUUGGAGUUAACAUAAAGCAAAAUCUACACAAAAAUGAAUGAACACUUGCAAAUCAAAAUUUACAUCUCCUCGUUUGCAUCUAGGGGUGGGCAUGGGCCGGGGAUAACAUUUUCUAAUAUAGGAACCGGACCUUACCCGGCCCAGUUGAAACGGGCCGGUUCGGGCUGGGUCCACGGGUCCUUUUUUUUUUUUUUGAAAAAAAAUAACUAAAAUUUGCACAGAUUCAGCAGAUUCACUACCAGUACCAGUGCAGACUGCAUUUGUGCAGAUUUUGCACAAAUUCACUCCGAGUCCCUGCAAUGAUUCACAUCCAAUCCAAAUACAAAGUCCAACAUCCAAGUUCAUAGAUUAAUAAUUUGAGGUAACAAAGUGAACAUCUGGGACAUUUCGACGUCAUUGUGAGAUAAGUUUAUUAAUUAUACUUGUUGCAGUUGGUAGAGAUGCUGAACUUGUAAGGGAGGUUAGCUCCACAGCUGGAAUCUAGCACCACUCUUUUCCAGACAGCUGCAAGAGAGAAACGAUAAAAAUAUAUGAGUUACUCUUGACCAUCUGGGAAAUUUACAAUAAAAUUGUAUGAUAAAUGAUAUUUAGGAAAUAGAGGUAUUAUUAAUGAGAAUAAUAUCUUUCCUUUUAUGCUUCUAUUAGGAAUCAGGAUAUACAAAUGCAUAGCCAGACAUCUAUUAUAAUCCUAACAAAUCAAAACUAGUGUAAGAACCUGAAGUUGUAGAGCCAGUUCAAAACAUAUAAACCACAAAGCAAGCAGGUGAUCUAUAUUAAAGAGCACUUUAAGUACAUAAAUCAAGUGAAAAGCCCAAUUGAACGCUAUACAAAAUACCCAAAUCUGGCUCAGGGUGACAAGCAAGUCCAGAAUAAUUGAAAUACGCAUCCCAGAUAAGUAAACAUGUCAUGAUUGUUUUCUUAAUUGAGAGAGAUCAUAAUUGUGAGUUCAACUUCGUUUGUAGCCACUACAAUUUAUAGGCUUCAACAUUCAACCAUUGGAGUUCCUACCUAAUGAGACAUCCUAGAGAAUACAAAACGCUCUUUGCCAGACACAAUGUAUCCUUUAUGUAGACAGACUUCUGGAACCUCAUUAACCCCAAAAACUACAAACUAUAUCUUUAUCAAUAUCCCUAUUUUUCGAAACAUUACAUAAGCAUGUUAAACUUCAUAGGUGAAAGUGUUUAUGAGAUUCUUGAGAGCAAAAGCAUGGUUUCCAAUGGAUAGUUUUCAUUUCUUCAGUAGUGGUCACACUAUCUAGUAUCUAAUUUUCUUAACAACUUAGAAGGCAUCAAAGCUUGCCAAAAUAAUUCUCUGAGGAUCAUGGUUAUAAAAUUUCUAACUCAUAGUACUUCUGAAACCAUCUCUUCCUCUAAAUUUUUACAUAAAAAAAUUGAAACAAAAAGGGAAAGAAAAAAAGUUGGCAUCUCUUCCCAAAUCCCAAUUUCUCACAGCCCUAGCACAAUUCAACAAACCAGUGAAGCUCAGCUAGCCUCAAAUUUACCAGCUAUAGUUGCACUUCAUAGUCUAGUAUGGACCAGAAAACUCAUGAUCCAUCAAAUGGCAGGAAUUCAAUAUAGCCAAACCAACACAAAUCGCCUUAGAUUGUCUAGACCGGUUACCAGGAGGAUUUCGUAGCGUCCAAAUUGGAACCAAAAACAAACAAUCUGACCUGAUUUAUUCAUCAUAUUAACAAAGUUAUUGCUGCAUAUGUACUGCAAACAGGAAUUCUAAUAGUCCAAACAUUCAGAUUAUUAAAGGCCCUCUGGGUUCUCAGAAGCAAAUAAAUCAAUCAUCAAUUCAAUCAUCAACAGUAACCUAGUUCGAAAACCCUAAAAUCCCUACACCCAAAAUUCAAAUUAAUAACAAAACCCUAAUUCAAAAUUACCUAAAUUUUAGAGGGAUGAUGGAUGGUACCAGUGUCCUCGACGACGAUGAUGGGGUGAUGGUGGUCGCGACGGUGGGGGUGCUGUCAAAGAGGAGAGAAUCCACGGCGGGGCUAGUGGGGUGAUGGCCUGGGUUCUAUGGGAUGUCGUCGAGGAGGAUGAUGGGUGAUGCCGUUGUGUUCGUCGCGACAGUGGUGAUGUCGUCGAGGAGAAUCGACGGCUGGUGAGAACUGUGAGGAGGAGAACGAUUGGAGUCGAGGGACUGAGAGUCUGAGAGCGAGAGUGAUUCUGGAACCCGGGAGGAUUUGGCAAGGGUUAAAACUAACGGUUGAGGUUGGAUGAUAAGUUAUCAUUUAAUCUUGACCGUUCAUUAUAAUUAGAAAUGGGUCGGUUUGGGUACCGUUUGUUUUAAUUAGAGUAAAUUGUAACAAUGGUCCCUCAACUUCAAUCAACUUGGAGCAAUGGUCCCUCAACUAAAAAUUCAUUACCAUUGGUCUCUCAACUUAUCAAAAUGUGUAGUUAUAGUCAUUUUCAUCAAUUUCGUCAAAAUUUUGUCAAAAUAAGUUAUGUUGGAAUAACCAUUUAUAUAAUUAGGGUCCCUUAACUCAUCAAAGUGUGUAAUUAUGGUCAUUUUCGUCAACUACGUAAUUUUUUUUGUCAAAACGAGUUAUGUUGGAAGGACCAUUACUACAAUUGGGUUAAAAUUAAGGGAUCAUUUCUCCAGUUGAAUUAAAGUUGAGGGGCCAAUGGUAAUGAAUUUUUAGUUGAGGGACCAUAGCUGCAAGUUUUGAUAAGUUGAGGGACCAUUGCUUUAAUUGAGUUAAAGUUAAGGGACCAUCGCAACAAUUUACUCUUUUAAUUAUAAGAAACCGGCCCAGACCGUUUUCUUUCUACAAUUUUUUAGAACCGGCCCUACCUGCCCCGAACCUAGAUUACCUGUCCUGACCUGCGGUUUCUCUACCUGUUUGCCCACCCCUAUUUGCAUCUAUGCAUUAGAGCAAAGCUAAAAUUUUAUGUAUAUGAUCUCCAAUCUUGGAGAUGCUCUUAAGCCUCUUAGUUCUCACCUAAACCCAAGCAAGGGACUUCAUAUCUCGCUUACAAGUAUAGUAUACAUUGUCACAUCCCGGCUCGGGAUGGACCACUUCCCGGGCCCGCUCCACCACCAUAGCACGAUAUUGUCCGUUUUGGGCUUACCAUUCCCUCACGGUUUUGUUUUUGGGAACUCACGAGCAACUUCCCAGUGGGUCACCCAUCCUGGGAGUGCUCUGGCCUCCUUCUUGCUUAACUUCGGAGUUCCUACGGAACCCGAAGCCAGUGAGCUCCCAAAAUGCCUCGUGCUAGGUAGGGAUGAGAAUAUACAUUUAAGGAUCACUCCUCUGGGCGAUAUGGGAUGUCACAUACAUUCAUAUAUUUAUUACUUUAGUUAAGGUAGAAUGUUUUGCAGAUAUAUUUAUGUUAGUUUAUUAGUUUUUUUUUGUUACAAGAUAUUAAUUAGAUUUUUUAGAGUUGAAAAAUGCAUAAUAUUAGAUGAUUUUAAUUGAUUAUUAAUUUUUUUUAGAAAAUAUAAAAUGGAUAUAAAAAAAAAUAACUUAACUCACUUUUAAAAAUCAUCUAUGUUUUUGGACCUGGGCCUAAAAGCCUCUAAAAUUUAUAUAGUAAAAUAUGUUAUCCGCCAAGGCGGAUGUAAAGAUGCAUAUAUCCUUCUCAAGGGGGGAUGCAAUAAUCAUCAUUUUUCAUAAGGGUCGAUGAUAUUCCACCCUUUUUGCCCAUCUUAUAUAAGGAUAUAUCAUUUUUUAUAAUGAUAUAUUUAUACUAAGGGUGUUACUGAAAUAAACUGGUAUUCAAUUCGUGAGAUUCAAAUUUAAAAACUCUUACUUACAAAUAAUAAAAUAUCACUAUAGAAUAGUUAAAUUUUUAUUUAAAAAAUUAGUUUGAUUUUUCAAAUCUUUUAUUAAUGGGCACGAUUAUAAAGAAUUUAUGUUUAAAGAUCCGUUGAGAAGUUAUUGCAACCUAAAACAAUUAGAUGUCUAAUAUAUUUUGGUUAAGGAAUUGAACACUCACAUUCAACAAUCAUUUUUUUUUUUAUGUGGAGUACAUUACAUUUAUAAUUCUACCACAAAGGGGCACUAGCCAUAAGGCAAAUACAAAUACAGAAAUACACACACCAACAACAUAUACAACAAACUCACGAUGAGUUGUCGCAACUUAUUCCGACUCUGAAAGAGUUAAAUUGCAAAAAAAACUUAAAACAAGGCCCUACAACAUCCAUAAUGUGAAGUUACACUUAAUACACAGACUUAGUGUCUCCAACAUAAUCGGCCAAAAUAUUAUAAUUUCUUUUGCGCUUCUUAAGGAAGUUCUUGAACCAAUACGUCGAAAGUUUUGGGUGCCUUUUCCGUCCAUUGUCAUAAUCCACAUAGUUGAUACCAAAUCGAACUGUAUACCCUUCGCUCCAUUCAAAGUUGUCUAAAAUUGACCAUGCAAAGUAUCCUUUCACAUUACUUCCCUUCCUGCACCCCAAAAAAAAUUAAGGAAAACUAAUGAAAAUGGUUUGAAAACUUUGAGUUUUAAUAAUAAGGACAAAAUAAAGGGUAAAGUGAAUAGUACCAGAAUUGAUUUUUUAGUGUAAAAAUGUGGUUUUUGUUAAAAUGAAUAGUACCGAAAGCUUUUCGUUAAAGUUCCCAAAAAAUUAAUGAUUUGGCAUCAAUGUGAUUACUAAAUAACCAAAAAGCAAUAUAGUUUUAAUUACUUUGUCAACAACACUUACUUGAUUGCUGCUUGAAGGUAACAGAGAUGGUGAUUGUAGUAGUCAGUUCUAUUGGUGUCAUGAAGAGCAUCCUCUAGUGAUAAGGUUGAAUUAUUGACCUCGUCAAUGCCUGCAAUAAAAUUCAUUACAAUACAUAUUUAGUAUUCUCUUUUAUCUAAAAAAGAGAGAUGAUUGGUUUUAUAUUUAGAUUUGGCAGCACUUAACUGUAUUUUACAUCAAUUUAUACAUAUAUAAAAAAUGAUAAGUGAAAUAAUUAAGUUAGGUGUAAAAGUGUUAAUUACCAUUCUCAGUAAUGUAAAUGAUUGGAUCACCAUACUUAUUCUUCGUGUAGAGUACAAAAUCAUGAAUUCCUUUUGGAUAAACAUAUAACCAGUUUGAAGCAGCCUGUAAUACCAUAUUUGAGAUUUAUAAAAGUUGUAUAAAUUAAUCCUCCAAAUAUGAAUAACUUGACCUAAAAUUUGAUGUGUACCUGAGGACCAAUAGGAACGCCAUCAAGUUCAGCUGCCACAACAUAUAUAUGAAUGUGAUCAAUAGUAGAAUCUAAUAAUACUGACGUAUGAUUAAUUAGCCGAUAAAAUUUUUGAAUUUGUACUCACUUAGUAAAGUAACAUGUGGAUCAUAUAAGUAACUUGCAGGUUCAGAAUAAUUCUUAGGUACAUCAGCUGCAUAUCUAGCAGAAUAAUAGUUCAGUCCAAUAAAGUCAAAAGACCCAAUUAACAUCUUUGAUUCUUCAUCUGUGAAUUUGGGUAAUCGUUCUCUAACGAGGCCUUGCAUGCUGUAUGGGUAGUCACCUCUUGUAAUUGGAUCCAUAAACCUAUAAAAAUGUGAAACUUCCAAACAUGAACUUAUAGUAUGCAUACUAUACCAGUCACGGCUGGCUAGCUAGCUAAUCAACAUUAUAAGUCAUAAAUAGGGCGAUCUCAAACCAACAAAACUCCUUGUUUUGCAAGGAUCGGGAGGGGUGAGGAACGUUUAUCGUACGCAACCUUACCCUUAAUUUGCAAAUAGACUAUUUCCACAACUCAAACCUGUAACCUUUCGGUCACAAAUGAGCGACAUUUCUGUUGCACCAAGGUUUACCCUAUUUACGAGUCAUAAAUAAAUAAAAAGAAAUAGUAAUGCUAUUCAUACCAUGUUUUUAUACCACAUUUUUAUACUACCUUAAGUGGUAUAUGAUACGGACAAUAUCGUGCUACGGCAGUGGAGCGGGCCCGGGAUGUGAUGGACCCCGGGUCGGGAAAAUAAAAAAAAAGAAAAGAAAAGAAAAAAAGAAAAAAAGAAGGAAAAAAAGAAAAAAAAAAGAAGAAAAAAAACCACAUCAUUUGAAAAAUUUGCAAAACCCAAGGAAAUGAAGGAGAAAGACUUCUCGUAUACCACAAUCAUCGUUUGAUUAAUUAGUUUUUCUUAAUUAUUAGUUUAUUAAAUAAUGAACUAAAUUUAAAAAUCUGAUUAAUUCAAAUGAUGUGGUUGUCCACAUCAAAUACCACCUAAGGUGGUAUGAAAAUAUGGUACAAAAACAUGGUAUGAAUAACAUUACUAAAAAAGAAAUCAAUUGCACUUGCCAUCCGAACAUAAAAUCCAAAGCUCGAUAUGAAGCAUCCAUAUCUUCCUUUGCUUCUGAAGCAGGCUCAAACCAGUGCGACACUAGUGUUAUUCCUAUCACCCCAUUCUGAUAUGCCUACAAAGAAAAUUCAGAAAAUUAUUUGAUUUAGUGCCCUACAAAGUCCAAACUUUGUUUACCUCGCUAUACAAAAUGUUUCCUAGCACACCAAUAUUCAGACAAAAACAGGAACUAGCUAGCUAGUUAAUUAAUUGUACCUGAAAAUUUUCUUUGUACACUUUUACAGCAGCUGCAUGAGCAAGAAGUUGGUGGUGUGUGACUAAAUAGGGUUCGAUAGCUGAAUCUCCACCGAGGCAGGUUGGGUCUUGCCAAGCAGAGCAUCGUCCGGGUGCGUGGAUCCCAAUUGUAUAAGCAUGGUUGCUAAAGGUAUAUGGCUCAUUCAACGUGAUCCAGUGCUUCACUCGGUCACCAAAAAGUGAAAAACAAAGUUCUGCGUAGUCUUUAAAGUCAUCGCUGUGUGUACAUUUCAAACGCUUUUGUUAGAUAUAUAUAGAACGUACGUUUUAGUUAAACAAAUGAUCAAUAUUAUACAUAAGAUAAACUUUGUUGACUUACGCAAUACGAGGGCUUAAGAAACCACCAUAUGCAUCUUCUAAAGCUUGAGGAACAUCCCAGUGAAAGAGUGUCACAAAUGGUUGUAGGCCUAUAUAUAACAUUACCAGUAGAAAGAAGAUUAAAAGUUCGAUUCAGUUAAACUGUAAUUAUAUAUUAUGUAAUGGGCGGAUAUAUGAGAUUAGGUAGCUUUAUCACCAUGGAGAAGGAGUUCAUUGAUGAGAUUGUCGUAAUAUUCAAUUCCUUUCCUGUUAACACCCCCACUUAGCGUUCCAUCUAGUAAAUAGAACAAGAUAAUCAAAUUAGUUAAUGCCUAAUUAAUUCAGGUUAGUCCAUGAAGUAAUUGGUCCCAAAUCAAAUAUAUGAACGCUGAUGAUCAACAUUACUUGGUAACAAUCUGGACCACGAGAUAGAGAACCUAUAAGCAUCGAACUUCAUAUCCUUCAUAAUUGCUACAUCUUUCUGUAAUGACAAGAAAGAAAUACAUAAUACAAGAAAGAAGCUAAAUAUUAAUUGACCAUCUCAUGUUCAAUGUGCCCUUCAACUUCAAAGUAUGAAAGGUUUGGAGAAUUAAUAAUAUUAUUCCUUGAUAGAUAACCUUAUAGAGGUGGUAUUGAUCAAUGGCGACAUCUCCAUUGCUGCGAUCAGUGAUUUUUUCUGUAAAUAACCAUAGAAGUUUUUUUUAUUAUUUAAAGCAUAAAGAUGGUAGAAAUCAUACAGUACGAACUAUUAUGUCCAUACAUGUAUAGUCCAUAUCUUAACAUAUGCAUAUAUACUACAUGCCCAAUGGUAGUUGAUGAUGGUAUGCAGAAGACUAUACCUGGAUGGUUGUGGGUGAAGGUGUCCCAUAUGCUUGGUCCUCUACCAUCUUCGUUCCAUGCACCUUCUACCUGAAAUGUGCAUACAUACAUUUAAACUGAAGAUGUCAAUAUUCAUGCUUGAUUAUAUAUAUGCUAGUUUUCUGACAUUGAAAUAAAAUUAAACCUAAGUGAUUAUAUGAAGGGAAAUUAAAUGGCUAAGCUCUAGUAAAGACUGACCUGGUAAGAUGCUGAAGCUGCGCCAAAGACGAACCCUGGUUUAAGAGCAUCAAAUUUUCCCCUGUCAAGAGAGUUACAGACAAUGGGCCGAUAUGGCUUAGCAGCUUUGGUGUUUGUCAAUGCAAAGCCAGUGAGUAGCAACACAAACAAGAGCAAAGAUCCUAACUCAUGCAUCGCCAUAGUUAACUGGAGGGGGUUUGGUGAUCGAGAUAGCUAGGUUGGUUCUUCCCUGCAUAUUGCAUGGGGUUUAUAUAGAGGGGCUACGUACUACGUCUACAUAUGAAAAUAAUUGAUAAGCAUUUACUUACUAAAAUUUGAUAAACUCGGGCAGGCUUUAAAAAAGUGUGGACCACUUUAAAAGACCAAAGCAAAUACUUUUUGUAACAAUAAUAGUGUUGGGAUAAUACACUUAUACAUACAUACAUUAUAUAUAUAUAUAUAUAUAUAACUUGAAAUUUUGGUGGAUUGAUAUGCAAUAUAUACCAAGGAAUGGAUUUAAUUCUUCUAAACUAAAGUAGAUAGAAAUAUUCAAAAAAGGAAAAAAAUUAGAAGAAAAAUUAAAAAGUGGAGAAACGCACCUCAAGAUAAUAUUCGAUAUCAGACUUUUUUCCUUUAUACUGUUAAUCCAAUUGGGACCGUACUCCAAUAGCAAGCGGUGGCGAAGCAUGCAUGCAUGCAUGCAAAGGACCAGAAAUGUUCAAGUGUUGAUAAAGCCCUUCAACAAUACAAUAGAUUUUUCAAUGUGAUCGGUACACAAGGUGGAACAUUACGUAUCACUGUAAAAAUUAUAUGAUAUGUAUGUUAAAAAGUUAAUAACUUAAAAAAUGAAAUUUUCCACCACUUUUAUUAUAACACGUGAUGUACCACUUGUGUUCCCGUUAUAAUUAAGAAUUUCUCCAACAAUAUUCUGGAACGUAGCCAUCGAUCAUUCUCUUCGUGCCAAAUGUUUGCUAGAAUAUGUUAACACACUCAACACCCAGUUACCUUAACUCGCAAAGAACUAUAUAUGCCCAUGAUGAAUGCUUCCUUAAUCAAAUCACCCCACGAAUAAUUAAUAGUUUUAACCUUUCAUAUCAGUUUAGAAGUUUUAGAAUUGAUUGACAAAAAAAAAAGGUUUUAGAAUUGAAUUACCAGUAAUAUUUCUAAAUCUUAAACUGCAACUUGAAUAUUGAUUUUUUCCCAUUUCAAUUGAAUGCUUCGAUCCGUCAAAUGUGGCUUGGCUUUCUGUUCUUUAUAUUCCAAACUUAGGUCUGUAUAUGUUUUUUUUUUUUUUAUAAUCUUUAUCGUGUAAUAACUUAUGUGUUGUGAUUGGAAGUAAUUUUUUGUUGAUUGUUUUAGUAUUUUAUUCAUACCGUUUAUUUAGGAGAAGGAUUUGCAGAAAUCGGCAGUGUCUCAAAGCAAUCAUGCAAUUACAUGUAUAAAGUUAAAACGUGGCUUGCUGGGUUGAUUAGAAUACGUCAAUUUCAUUGUGAAGAUCUUUGCUGGUAACCACCAUAUGUUGACGUGUUAUUGUAGUAAAAACUGGAGUGCUUGAUUUACUCUGGAACGGAUCGACGGAGUGAGUAAGCAGAUUCACUAUUCCCGAGAGGUAGAAAAAAUGGUCUCACGGCCACUACUAGCAUAGCAUGUAAGUUGAAAAUCAUAGUACGCGUAACAAACUAUGAAUCUAUGAAUAUUAUUUAAUUAACUCAAAAUUAAAGAAAAGAUUGCUGAAAUAGCUACAAACUAAGGAAUAUAUUUGGUUGACUCACUUCUGAUAGAGUUACAAAAUCUGUUUAUAAUAAUUGAAACCCUAUAAAACCUAAUACUUGAAGUAUCUAAACUACCCAAUGAAUGAAAUAAAUAAAAAAUACUAAUAUUUUUCAACACCCCACAUCAAACUCAUGAUGCUAAUUAAACGAUAUGAGUUUGCCAACAAACAGAUGCGAAUGUAAACUCUGUUUGGCGAACAAUGAGGCCUGCAUAUUAUGUUUGGUGCUCUUCAACAAAUAGAUUUUGUAAGGGGGACAUACUUUGCAGCAUAUUGCCCAAAUAGGAGUAUAGAAAUAAAAACAUAUGAAUGCUCCCCCGUACUUAAUGAACGAGAUUCUUAUAUCACAAAUACAACAGCGAACAAACAUAAAAUCAUUUUGUCACCACGUGUGUGUAUAUAUAUAUAUAAUCUAGGGAGCUUUAAUAAAAAGGGCUUGGAUCAACAAAUAUUUAACCAAAAACCAUCCAAAAAUAUUAUUUAACCAAAAGGACUCAAAGUUUAAUAAAAAACCUUCUUCUCACCCUUCUCUGGCUUAAGCGGUGCAAGCUCCGCGCAGCACUUGGGUUUUUUCAACUUCUCCAACAAUGGCAACCCCUACAACAACAUCUUCGAUGUCGACUUUGAUGUCUUCGAAAACCAAGGGUUCCAGGAUCCUGAUGACAACCAUGUUGGUUUGGACAUCAUUCCCUUACCUCUAAUGCUUCGAGCACCGCAGGGUUUGUUUGUUGACUUUUUUUCUGACGGUUUUGUUGAUGGGUUUGACGGUGUAGGAGUCGAUCGUUCGCCUCAGAGCUUUGGGUUUGGCCAUGGCGGAGAUUCUAGAGGCUCAUCGCCCAAACCAGACACGCAGAAUUUGGAAUUUGGAAUUGGAAGAAGAAAUGUAGGAUACUUCGUUGAGGGGUUGGAUUGUAGAAUCCUAGGAUGGACGCAUCUACAGAGGACAAUAGCUCCUUUAUUAUAGAGGACUUUUUCUUCUAUAUAUUGACUGGGGUUUGUUCGUUGAUUUUUUUAGCAUGAAAUUGUUUCGACUCCUGAAACUGUGAGGUUGGACUUGAAAUUUCUAUUGUCUUGGUUUCCCACUUGGUGCAGUUUGUUGAGUCACUCAUCCCUUAACAUUGUUGAACUAGGCAAAAAAAAGAACCAAAACAUAAAACUGUUUUUAGAGAACCCAAAACAUAAAACUGUUUCUGGAAAAAAAAUCAGAUACAGUGUUUGUUUUGUCUGUGCACAAACAAAUAUUGUAUCUGGAAAGAAAAGAACCAAAAUCCAGAAACAGUGACUUAAAUUUCAGAAACAGUGACUUAAAUUCCAAAAACAGUCUAUGUUUUAACCUUUGACUGUUUAUUUUCUUUCAUGCAUCAGUUGAUUAUAUUUAAGAAACAAGAUGCUUAAUUUGCUUUGAAUCCAAAAACAGUGAAUUUCACUAUUUCUUUUGUAGCUUACAUUUAAGAAACAAUGUGUCUAUUUCAUUUGGAUCCAGAAACAGUGAUUUAGAUUCCAAAAACAGUAACUUAGGUUCCAAAAACAGUGACUUAGAUUUCAGAAACAGUAACUUAGGUUCCAGAAACAAUGACUUAGAUUCCAGAAACAAUGUUACUUAAAAUCCAGAGACAAUUUAUUUUUACAAUCUAGAAACAGUGACCCGUCGUUAUUAUUGAAUAGCAUGCAGAUCUCAAAUUUAUUUUCUAGAGAAACAAACGAUAAACUCCACUAAUGAAGAAAAAAUGAAAAACAGUACCUCGAAUACACUAUGAAUAAUAACGACGAUCACAUUUCAACGAAAUAAUACAAAAUAUAAAUUAAAUAGCAUGAGGAUCUAUAUUUUUGUUUCAAAAAAUAAAAAAGAAGGUCUGCAAAACAACGAUGAACUCCAUUAACAACGAAAAUCUGGAACUCAACCUAAAAAAGUUAAGGGUAAAAUGGACAAAUCAUAAUUUAUUAUAGUUGUGCCAUUUUUAGUUAGACUACAUUAAUAUGAGAAUUGUACUAAUCAUUAAACAAAACUUAUAACAUGAUUUUUUAUUAAAACUAAAACUUUUCAAGCCUUUUUUAUAAGUUUUCCUUAAAAUGUAACAACUAUCAUUAGAGUGGUCACCAAUUCAAGCACUUGAACGGUUGUUGUGAUGGACAAUAACAACAUACUCUAUAUACAGGCCCAACAACAUCAACCCUUAUCAUGUCACCCUUAUCGGCCCCAAUAACAACAAAUACUUUUUCUCAACAAAACCUUUUCUUAUCCCUUUUCUGUUUUUUCUUUUGUGCGAACGUAUGGAGUGGACUCAAUGCAGAUAAUGUUGAAAUACAGUAGUGGGUACAAAUGAGGUGUGGCAACAUGCCUGGUGGGUGUGACAACGCAACAACGAAUUCAUGGAUUCAUAAGGUCACGAUGUUGGUGGUCAGAUCGCGAUACAUGUGUGGGUUUGGUCAGUAACAAUGACUAAAGUGGUUUGAUGCGAUUUCGUUAUGUGGUAUAUCAACAAGCGGUAAUGGUAACGUUCGGAAUGGAUUUGUAUCAACGGUCAGUGGGUUCUAGGCCGCGUGACAUAGUUGGUGACAGAUCUAGUACGAGUGCGGGUCAACAUUGCAACAACAUCAUACCAGAGCACAGUACCGACAAUGAGUUCGUUGAUCAGCGGAGGGUCGAGUGCAAUAUAUACCUUAGAAAACCUAAUACUUAAAUUAACUAAAAUACCGUAACAAUAAAAUUACCUAAUAUGAUAAUAUUCUCCAAAAAUGUUUCUCUUACUAUCUAUUUGUAUUAUUUCUCUAAUAGAGAUGGACCCACAUAUGUUCGCAAGCCUUACCUCUAUUAGAUAGAUGAUACAAAUGAUGAUACAAAUAGAUGGUAAGUGUACCAUCAACAUUGUAUUCUUGAAACCCUAUCGGGACUUGAGCAACUUUAAUAUUAUGGCUAAUUACAUUUUGCACCUUCCAUGUUAAUGAGCCAAAUAUAUCUUGUACAACUGUUAAAUAGUUAGUUACACGUGUAUAAACUUAGUUGUAGUUGUUAGGGUCUCAAUUGUAAUUAAAAACACAUGUAUGUGUGUGUGUGUGUGUGUAUUGAACUUAUUACAUUGAGUGAAAGAAAGAUAUUUUGCAAGCUGAGCUUCUUUACAUGCUAAGUUACUUUACAGGUUUGAUGUGAUUUUCAAAAUUGACCAUGAGGUUUCAACUUUCUCAUAUUUUCAUGAUUUUUAAAAUUGUAUUAAAUUCAGCGAACUGUUAUUAGUACUUCAAAAAUCUCAUUAUACACUCAUCAUAAGUGUUGUUUUCUUUCUAAUUAUAGAAAAUUUGGAGUGCCAAAUGAGAUUUUUGAAGUGGUAAUAGCAAUUUCCUAAAUUUUAAAUUUAUACCUUUUCUCUCUUUGAUUGUCUAAUCCUUCAUAAAAUUAAUAUUUUUUUUUUUUUUGCUAACUUGGCAUGCAAAUGUAUCUUACAAGUUAGCCCAUACAAUAAAUUUGACCAAGUGCACAAAUUAAUACAAUUUCACUAUCUUAGAGUGUAAUAUGUGAGAGUUACAAUUUAUUGAUCUAUUUUGAAGAUGAGCCCAUACAUGGAGAGUGUAAAAUGUAGAUAUCCCUUAUUAUUAAGACAUAAAUGAUGUACCAGAAAUAGAAAUUUCUUCUCUUUUUCCUUUUUUAAAGCAUCCAAACCCCACCGCAAGUCACAAAGUCACAAUCCUAGCCGCUUACACAAGCCCAGAAAAAGAAAGGAUGGGAUUCCAUUUUUUCAUGACAGCUUUGGUGAGGACUACGACUCAUCAACUUUAUAAAAAGAGUCUUUACCAGGAAAAAAAAAGGACAAGGGAAAUAGAGGCUGACCUAAAAAAAAGGGAAAGAGAGGGCCUCAGCUUCUUUGCAUGCAUUUCACACAUGAAGUGAUAGAACUGACAUGCACGUUGCAGAAAAAUGUGUGGUGGCUAGUGAUUAGGGGCUCGUACGUGGUGACUCGAAUGGAGAAGGAGGCAGAUUCUUUGCUCUUCUAUUUUUCGUAUUUUUUCAUGCUCUCAUGUUUUAUGUGGUCACAAUUAAGCUACAUCUAUUACUCUUAUAAGGUUAUACAAUUAAAACACAAUAUGAAGGAGUGACUGACCUGAUUCUAACGAUGGUCAUGGAUAUCAAACACGAAAACAAACAGAGUACGGCAACACCAAGAUCUUCUAUAAACUUCUAGCCGAAUACAACUACUCUAUGGGAAGCAUUAUGUUGUGUUCUAGGGCUUAUAGGGACCGGUGUUUUAUAUAGGCUAAAAGCUAGGGUUUCCAUCUAUAAAGGAAACCUAAAUUUUACUUCUUAGCCUCCAAGUCAAGUAUCAUAAUCAUAUUCAAUUAAGGAUUCCAUCAAUCCUAUUUCCAAUAUAAGACACCUUAUAUAGGAUUGAUAUCUUUAAGAGAUCAAAUCACAAUCAACAUUAUUCUCCAAUAUUACAUUCCUAUUACAUGUAGUAGGCCACUUAAAUGUCGAUUUAUAUUGGAUAAAUCCAACAUUCUCCCACUUGGUCUACAAAAUGUAAUAUUCAUUUUUAUACUUGAGAUUGGAGACUAAUGUCACUUUAGUGGCCAUGUAACAGUGAUUACAUCUCGUCCUUAAUGCAAUUUCUGUCAAAUGCAUUUCUUAACAUGAAACUAACAAGGUUGUAGGGUUGACACAACCCAGAACCUUCAUAAUCACACAUGCUAAGAUCCUCAUUCACAUGAAACACAAAUUAUGAUCAAGAGAUGAAACUUUAAAUUAAAUUUUAAAUUAACCAAAAUGUCUUACUUUAUAUCAUCUCAGGUCCACCUUAUUGUAACUCACAAGUUACACUUUAUACUUCUUCGAAGCCUUAAAUCUGCCAAUGCAGAUAUCCUUCAUCUAAUGAAGCCACCAUAACCUGCAAGUGUGAAUACAUUUCCAAAACAAUCAUGCAUCACUUUCAUUAGAUCAGUAAUAAUACAAACAAUGUUUGUAGCCAAUGGACACAACUAAAAGUACCAAAUAGGCACAUGUCCAAGUAAAAUAUCCCAAAAACUUCAUAAAACAAAUUAAUUCAACACUUGUGAGCAAGAUGAAUUAAUAUGUUUUUGACACUGAUCUAUGCACCAUACCAGUUUCAUAGUGAUUUCCAACACCUGCGGGCAAGAUGGAAAUCCUCACAACUGAGGUAGUGCAUAAACCAUGUCAUGCCAUUUAAUAUGCAAUUUGAUAACAACUUGCUAUCUAAUAUAUAUUUCAUCAGAUAAUUGACUAGCACACGAAAAAUGUGAUUUAAUGAAUCUAACUGGAGAUUAAAAUGAAUACAUGGAUUCUAUACGUACCUUAUAGGUCAUCUGUAAAUGUAAGGCAUUACUAACACGAAACUCAAACUCCCACUGAUCUGCAACAUCAUCACUUAAUUUGCAAAUCAAUACUUUAAUCAUAUUUUUGAAAAUAUGCCUUUGGGAAUAGCCUUACUUAGUCAAUGAAUGCAUAUUACCUCAAUGAAAGGUACAAUUAAGCACGAAAGCAUUCAUCACUGUUACACAAAAACAUGCAUCCAACAACCAUCUUAUAUGUAUUAAUAAGUCCACAUUUAUCCUAAGUCCUUAUAAGCCUCAAAACGAAUGAUCAACCAAGAAAUCCAAAUGAUUUCAAGUAACAGAAAAAUGUACGCAUAUACUAAGUAGUCAUUCGUGCAACUUAAACAUAUUAUUAUUAUUCGAGUAACACAAAUUCAUGGAAGAUAGAAUAACGCUUUAAUAAAUUCAUGCAAAUCCGCUUAAUGCUCAAAAACUCCCACUAAGUUUUCAGAGUUUAUACUUGCAAAUAAGUUAAUGAGUGUGAAGCCCAAUUUUCGUUCACUAAUUCUCCCACUUGGGCAAACACUCAUUAAUAUAUUCUUUCAGAGAUGUACCUAAAGAAAAUUGCUCUAUAUUUUAGACAUAAUAAAAUAGACAUCUCAACCAACAUAAAGUUGGCAAACAGAAUUUCAGCAACGAGUUACACUUACUUUAGCAUUAAUCAUAAUUAAUUUAUAAGCUUGAUUGCUACCAAAUUUAUACUGAUCAAAAUAGACAUACUAAUAUUCAUAAAAUAAAAAUAUAGAGACGUUUUGGAUCAAAAUAAUAGUCUAAAGUCACGUCUCAAAAAGACCAACACAAUCUGCCAAGAACUGUCUAUAAGAGCAUGGAUUACUAGUGAAUUCACCAUAAUUAAAAUACAUGGCAGAAAAUUACAAAACUUUUCAGACACAUAGUAGACAUCUAUAUGUUGAACAUAUCCAAAAUUCAGAUCAUUUGGUGACCAUUAGACGUGUCAUUCACCCGAUUUAAACCAAGACACGCAAUCUGCCAGAAACAAUUAUGUGCAUCUAUCAUGAAUUUAUGCAUCCAUAACAAAUUCAAUUUCAUAUCAUUUCAAUUUCGAUGUCCAAAGGAAACUUUAGUAGUCAAAUUUCAUCUUCUAAACCGACAUCAUAAUUCAAAUUGAAAAGAUUUACAAGCAUAAGACUUAAACAAUGCGUACCUUAGCAAUCCUUGAUUAACCUUCAUGGGUCCAAUACUUUGCAUCAACAAGUCUCAUGAAGAGAAACAAAAUAUGUCAUGAUGCAACCGAUUUCCAUGCCUUCAACCCACAACCUUUUAUGGGGCUCAUUGUGGAAAUAUUUGUCACCAAUGGCAUGGAACUUUAUCCCAAUAAACUUCACGAAACUAAAUUAAUUUACACCUGUAGGCAAGAAAAUUAACUAGUUUCUAGUACUAGAUUUUAUGUCACAAAAGUACCUUCAUGAAAAACUUCAACACAUGUAGGCAAGAUGAAGAUUUUCACAACUUCGGUGAAAUAAAACUCAUACUAUGCCAUCUGAAUUAAACUAAAAGAAGUAAUCCACACUUGUAGGCAAGAAGAUUAUCCCUUUUGUUCUAAUUAAGAUGCAAAGAUGACCGAAGUAACUAAAAAACGUAGUCCCAUCGUCAACUAAACCGUUGCAUCUUGCUUAGUUGAAAAGGCAUUGGUCAACUCCGUCCUAAAAUAAUACAAGAAGUCACAUGGAUUAAUUAAUUGUAAGUGACAAAAAUAGGAUAACAUGAUUCGAGCUUCGAGUCUUGCCAACAAAUGACACUAAUUCCUUCAUGACUCCCUUUGAUAUUAAAUUAAUCCCAGAAACCUGACAGCAUACUUGAAGGAGAUUAAUCACAUAUAGAACAAGUUUUCACCACAAGAAUGUCAAUACUUAUCAUUACAGAGUCAAUUAGAAAUACUUUAUGUAAUGUGAGAGAACAAUACAUUCCUUUAAUUUAAAAGCUAAGUCACUCAAAUGUUUGCUUAAGUCAAAACAGGUUCCUUUUCUUUUGUACCUUUCUUUCCGUAGUACAAGGCUCCUAAAACAUUAGCAUCAAAAUCGUGCAUUAGCCUUGUAAAUACCAAAUUAAAUAAAAGGAACCAAAAUUAUUUUCUUCCAUAGAAAACAUUUCCAAUAUAUGCCCUACAUUAGCCUUGAAAAGUUUCUUUUCUUCUCCCCUUAUGGCAUAUAAAAAUUACUAAUCAAAGCACUGUUUAAAUUCUUUAGGCAUAGGAAAAACCACAAACAAUAAUACAUGUUUGAAAAUUCAUGCUUGUCAAUUAAGCCACAUACUUUGAAUGGAUUACAUACCUCAUGUCUUCAUAUGUUCACCACUUCUUUGUAAACAUAUAUAUAAUCACAUGACCAACCAAAAUUCUCAUAUAAGCAUAAAAAUACAAAUGAGAACUGUCACAUAACUACUACAAACCUUAUUCAUUUGUAUAAUACCCUUGUUCUUGUCACUGGAUGCUUUCUGUCAUUCUCAGUCAAUCCACAAAUUAUACAUCAAUUUUCAUAGUUAACUAGUCAUGUAUAAUUUAAAUGACUAUUGAGAUAAGAAAGCAAAUUGUAGACAAACCUGAUUGAUUAGUCAUGCAUAUUUCUUGUGCUAUUAAUGGCAUAAAAGUUCAUUCUCAUCUUGUGAAAAUUAGUGGAAACAAAACUACAAUUCACUAUAGUCCAAAACCCAUGACAAUAUUGAAAAUAUGUAAUCUCAUGCUCGAACCAAUUUAGCCAUACAAGCAACACUAUACACGCCAUUUGCUUAACAAAUGUUGCCAAAAUCUGUAUGACUUACUUUCAUGUAUAGGAAUUUUAUCAAAUUCAUUAACAUACAUGUAUAUAGUUGACACGUAUAAAACUUAGCGUAUGCUUCCCUGCAACACUAUUGUAAUAUAUGUUAUUACAAUCAUAGGCAUAACAUAUCCCAAUAGUAUUGAUAAAUUAUAGGAUAUGACUAAUUAUGUCUCCUACAAUCAGAAAGACGUCACGACAUGGUUGGAUUUUGCAGGAACAAUAUAACACUUCAUGAAUCCAACAUAACCAUUCCUUAUAUAAUUUAUCAUGAAGACCAAAAGGAAAGAUCAUACCAGAAUUUCAUAUACCGAUGUAAUACGAACCUCUUCAUUGGGCUUGUUCCACUGAGGAAUCUUAAGAAAUUCUCCAAUGCAAGGUUAGAACAAAUGUAAAUACAUAUACAUGCUAUGCGAACUGUAGAUACAUAAUUGGCUUUAGAAAAUUAUAUAUACUUGCUUGAUCCAACAAUUGCUGGCAUUUAUGCAAUUGUUUCUUGUCACAUUAACGUAUCACUCGUAGCAAUUCAUAUAGAAUACAAUUCAUGGAAAAUAAUAUUAGUUCUUAUUCAAUAAGCUUAUGCCCAUUUAGAUACGUAUUGCCAAAAUAUAUAAUAAUUGGAUCCAUAUUCAUGACAUACUUAACCGAUACAUGGUAAUCAAUGUAUGUACAUACUCUACAAUAAUUAGCACAUCACUCAUGCAAUUAUAUCUUUAUCUUAUUACCAAUUUAAGCUUUGAGGGAUCAACCCAAAUAUAUAUCAACCAAAAUACCAUAAACCAUUAUGGAAAUCAAAGUCAAUGAAACAAACCAUUUUGCUUUGGUAGAAGACUUUGCUCUGCUUGCUAAUCGGAGGGACCUCUUCAGUAAGGUCAGAACAAAUAUAGCAUGCUUACAAAAAUUGAGAUCAUCAGUGGCACAUGGUAAAUCAAUUCAACCAAAACACUAGCAUGAAGAUUGAAAAAGAACAAAACUGUUAUUCUUCUUAGUGCCAUGGUUUCCACUGUAAAAUACAUAAUAUAAUACCACGCCUUACAUAUAUGCUUCUUUACGUUCCUAUUUGAUUAUAGGAUUCCAAUUCCUAUAUGGUUUUUAAAUUUCAUGCUUCAAUACUAUAAGAAUAUUAUAUAAAUUCUAUGCUUCAAUUCCAUAAUUUAAUUCAUGCUUGAUCAAAAGCACCUCUAAGCGUAGUUCAAUUUCCAAUUGGCAAGCAAAACUAUGUGGUUAUAUAUAAUACACCGCAUACAAUAUUAUGGGUUCGUGCUAUAAUCAGGCAACUUGUCUUGCUGAUAAUAAUCAAGGUAUCAAUUAGCAUAGUUCUUAAUAAAUUUCCCUUGACUGCAACCAUAAUAUUAGUGAAAAAUAUUCUUGAUUAAAACUGAAUAAUUAUGUAACCUGAUCAUAAUUAACAAUUGAACUUAUUCAAAUCGCAUGGUGAUGUUGCCGAGUAUAUGCAAUGAGAAUUUGGAUUAAACACGCAGUUCAAGAGAAUAUUAUAUAAUCCAACAUUAAACCUAAUAGGUUUUAAUUAUAUAAUCAGUGGCUCUGAUACCAACUGUUAGUCUUAUAAGGUUAUACAAUUAAAACACAAUAUGAAAGAGUGAUUGACCUGAUUCUAACGGUGGUCAUGGAUAUCAAACACGAAAGCAAACAGAGCACGGCAACACCAAGAUCUUCUAUAAACUUCUAGCCGAAUACAACUACUCUAUGAGAAGCAUUAUGUUGUGUUCUAGGGCUUAUGGGGACCGGUGUUUUAUAUAGGCUAAAAGCUAGGGUUUCCAUCCAUAAAGGAAACCUAAACUUUACUUCUUAGCCUCCAAGUCAAGUAUCAUAAUCAUAUUCAAUUAAGGAUUCUAUCAAUCCUAUUUCCAAUAUAAGACACCUUAUAUAGGAUUAAUAUCUUUAAGAGAUCAAAUCACAAUCAACAUUAUUCUCAAAUAUUACAUUCCUAUUACAUGUAGUAGACCACUUAAAGGUCGAUUUAUAUUGGAUAAAUCCAACAACAUCAAUAUUUUAUAUUAUUUUUUUAUAGAGAUAAUAUGACAAAAAGAAAUAGUAAUAUAAAAAGUUGACAUGGCUUAACCGUGAUCACACAAACAGGAUGGCACGAAAAAUGAGAGAACAGAGAAUCUGCCUCCAAUGGAGAAAAGGGUUCAGUUUGCUAGAACAGGGAAGACUUUGGUUGUGGAUUGAUUAUCCAAUCUAAGGGCAUCUAGUCUUUUUAUGAGUGAACACAAGAAAAAAAUAAAAUUACAAAAAUGAACUCCUAUGAAGCUCCAGGGAGAUUAAUCCUACCGAUUGGGGUCGGCCCUUCCCUACUACAAAUCCUGCUUGCUUCUUUUCAUUUUUGCCUAAAACCUUGACUUCACCAUAAGCGUCUGUACCGUAUUUACAAAGUCCUGAACAGCAUUAAAACUAGGAAGUUUUAACGAAACACUUCCGAUACUAUUCACUUUUAACGAAAAACCACAUUUUUACCUUUUCCUGAUACUAUUUACUACACAUUUAUUUGUCAUUUUUCAUUAAAACUAAAAAAAAUUUGGACUGUUUGUUAGUUUUUCUUUAAAACUAACGGUAUGCCGCAAAAAGCUCACCUGCCAUGCCGAAACAACGCCAAUACAAGCAGUCGUAAGCAAUUGUAUUCCGACAUAUACCUAAAAAGUAAAAACCCUGUAAUAUAAGGACAUAGAAUCUACAAUUGACCAUCUACGCCUGCUGUUUCUACCCAGACGACAUCCAUUUUUUUGGCCUUACCCAAUGCAAUUCAAGUAUAGAGUCUCUGGCAUUGAUGCCUAUUUUGUAAAAGCAUGGCAAAUCCUUGCAUCUGCAUCAUAUCCCAUUGUAGAAAAAGUUGCACGCCUCUCUGCGUUUGGGGACAAUUUGGUUGUUUUUCAAUCUCACAUGUGAGACUAACAAGGGCCAUAAACAUAGCACAACAGUGAUGGUAUAUCCACCAUGCAUGGACGAAUAUCACUUCCACUUAUUCUCAGUAUGUAUUCUCGCAGUGCCAAACCAGUGUAGAGGAAUAACAUUGUAAGCCUGAAGUGGAAACGUUGGCAAACAUCCAUCCCAAAUCGAAGAUCUUAGUAUACGUAGUGUUGCUGGGAAAAGAAGGAAUAGCAGCGCAGUUCAUCUCUGUAAGCGUUGUAUUCCUCUUUAACCUUGAGUUGGAUAUCUUUGAUAGAGGAACGCACGUUUAUGGGACCGAGAAAGAACCUCACAAAACUCCCUCCCUGAGAUUUCCCAGGAAGAAACGAAGCAGCAACUCAAGAUAGAGUAAUGAUAGGGUGACUGAAUUUCUAGAUUAAAUUUUAGAAACUAAAGGACAUGGAAAUUGAUGAUUGGUUUAUUACUUAGGCGUUGAUUAAUGUGCUCAAUCUUAUUGGUAACACAUCAUUUAGUUUGCAAAUGUAAUCUAAAAAUUUAAUCUCUCUAACAUUACCUAUUAUUAGAUAUGAGAUUUUUUUUUCCUUCUUUAUUGUUAAUCUAAUAGGGACCAUACUCAACUAGCAAGCAGUGCGAAACACGCAUGCAUGCAUGCAAGGGACCAGAAACGUUCAAGUAUUUCAAUGCAUGUUAUAUAUAAUUAGAUAAAGUCUUUCAACAAUAUUUUGGAACGUAGCCAUUGAUUCUCUUCUGGCCGCCCAAAUAUUUGCUAGAAUAUGUUAAAACACUCAACACCCUGUUAUCUUAACUCGCAAAGAAUGGUAUGUGGCCGUGAUGAAUGCUUUCUUAAUCAAAUCACCUUACGAAAAAUUAAUAGUUUUAACCUUUCCAGUUCAGUUUAGAAGUUUUAGAAUUGAUUGAAAGAAAAAAAAAUUUAGAAUUGAAUUACGCGUAAUAUUUUCCAAAUUUUAAACUGCAACUUGAAUAUUGAAUGCUUCUUGGAGGAAACAUUUUAAGUAUUUUUUCAAGAUUUACUUGCAUUUUCACUAAGGAUUGGUUUGAAAAAAAACUUUCAUCAAAAUCAUUUUCAGUCAUUUUAGAAACACUUUCAGAUAAUUCACGUGUUCUUACUGAUAAGUAGAUGUGUAAAUUCUAAUUAUUCUUUCCUAUAUGGACUUGUAUUGGGAAAGAAGGAUUUCCUCUCCCUCUUAUUACUAUAAAUAAAUAAAGUCACUACAUAUGAGGGAAUAAGACAUAAUCCCCACGAUUCUACAAAUACAUCUCUCUCUACAAUCUCUCCUUGAUGUCGUCCCUCUUUCCUUAGUCAAAUAAAAUAGGCUACAACAUAUUUUUAUUUCUGAAAACUCUAUAGGCUUAUUAAUUCCGCAGUUUUGCACUGGCGUUUAAAGCCCAAAAACAUUAACUAGCAAAGCCCAAAUAAAAUACCCUGGCCCAACGGAACCGGACUAUAUUGGAAGUGAAUUUGUUUGGUUUCUCUAACCAUUUCUGCUGAGAAUCGAACCAAACCCAUGAGGGACUCCGACUCGGUUUGCGACUCUGGCCCAACGGAACCGGACUAUAUUGGAAGUGAAUUUGUUAGGUUUCUCUAACCGUUUCUGCUGAGAAUCAGAAUCGAACCAAACCCAUGAGGGACUCCGACUCGGUAUGCGACUUUUGGGUGAACUGAGUCGAACCGCAUCGUACCCACCCCGUAACGCGUAAGCAACACACAUCGACUUGGCUUCCAAACUAAAUCUUCCAUUGUUUACUGGUAAAAUAGAUUGAUCCCAAGGUAAUCAUUAAACAUUAACCUAAACCGUAUCCAUUCAGGCAAAAUAGAUUGAUACAUCUUUUAAGCUGCCAUCCAAACUUUGCAAUGCAACAGAAACAGCGGACAUUUUCGUGCGAACCAACGCUUCAAUCGCCAUGUUGAAACUGCAUUUUGAACAAGCACCCAAAACAAAUUGAACCAAAAUUCUAGGAUACUCGAGGUGCUCUAAUCGUUAAAUCUUUAAUUCCAAUGAAGGGGAAAUCAAAGGGGUUUUUUGUACCCUCAAUCUGUGGAUUCUGUACAAAUAAAUGAACAAAAACUGCAUGCAGCAUAAUCCCUCCCAAGAUACACUAAGAACAGUUCAAACGAAGUUCAAUAUUCAUAGCAAGUGAAGAGCAAAACAGAGAUGGAAUGGCGUUCGUGAUCAUCGCAAUGCAGUUUUGACAAAACACGAACACAAUUGGAGAAUCAUACACCUAGAGUUUGAUAGUAUUCGAUGACUAAAAACCCUCUAUUCGAAGGUUGAUUUCUUCUUCGAAAGAACGAGCUCUGAAUCUCUGAAAGAGAAGUAACCCCAAGGAUUAUAUGAUUGGGCAUUUCAUCAAACAAGCUUCGCAAUUGAAAACCCCACAAGAUAUGUAUAAGCACCAAGAAUUAUAUGAACCACAAUCGUAUUUCAUUUCCUACCAAGAUAAAGAUCGAGUUCCAAAUCAACGUAAAUUCGAAAAAAAAAAUUGAAAGUAAAAUACACAUUUACUAAUUAAAACCCUAACCCUAGACCCAUACGACUUGAUUUCAAGUACCAGACAUUGAAACCCACAAACCCUAACCCUUCAAGAGCUGGUGAACUUAGUCACGGCCUUGGUCCCUUCCGAAACAGCGUGCUUGGCGAGCUCACCAGGGAGCACGAGCCUCACGGCGGUCUGGAUUUCCCGGGAAGUGAUCGUCGGUUUCUUGUUGUACCUCGCGAGCCUGGACGACUCCUGGGCGAGCUUCUCGAAGAUGUCGUUGAUGAAGCUGUUCAUGAUUCCCAUGGCCUUGCUGGAGAUCCCGAUGUCAGGGUGGACCUGCUUCAGCACCUUGAAGAUGUAGAUCUUGUAGGUCUCCACGCUCUUCUUCGAUCUCUUCUUCUUCUUGUCUCCGGCGGCCGCUCCGGCCUCCUUCGGGAGCUUCUUUCCGGCCUUGGGCUUUUUCUCGGCGGGGGCUUUCUCCGCCACGGCGGACUUCUUCUCCUCUGCUGGCUUCUUCUCGGCGGGCCUUCUCGGCUUUGGGCGCCAUUGUUAGAGUUGGGUGAGAGAAAAGUUGGGGGAUUUGGGGAUUUUUCGAUUUGGAUUGAAAGACUCGGAGAGUAGGAUGUUUCGUGAUGGACUUAAAGAUGAGGAGAAUGUGUUUUUAUAUAAUGGGGAGCGGUUGGAUUCCAUUGGCUAAAUUGGUUUGACGAGGAUCGCUGUCUGGGAUGUGGUUUUGGCCGUGGAUUGGGUUUGGGAAAGUUCAAACAUUGACGGUUGCGAUGUGUUAAGCUGGUUCAAGCGGAUUGGUGCCCUGAUCGGUUAGUUUAAGUGGAAUUGGACGGUGGAUAGUUUUUGUAUGAAACUGAGAACGGACGGUUGAGAUGAGGGACUGAUCGAUGACAUCAUCUGGGUGUAGUUCUUUUUACGAAGGAUAUGCAAAUUAGAAAUAUCAGAUAGUAAAACUUGGGUGAACUUGAUACAAUAUUUUACAACAAAAGAUAAUAAAAGAAUUGAUUCUUACCAAUUGUGAACAUGGUUUAUAUCCCCAAGUAGAUUGGAAACCUUAAAACCAUUGUAGAAGAGAAAUGCGUACAAAAUUUUCUUAAAGUUGAACUUUUUUAUGAAUUAUGCCCUUCAUGUUUUUUGUACAAUAUUUUAUAAUAUUGGCGAUACGAAAAUUGAUUUUAUAGUAUGAGAUGACAGAGAUUCCAUGAAAAUGCCCACUUUAAAAGAAUAUUCUUAACAUUUCUCGAUUCUGAAAGAUUGUAUUAAGAUUAAAGCACUUCCACCGUGCUUAAUUGCCCUAUGGAUAGGCUCCAAAUCCAUCGCAAUCCACCCCCUCUCCCCCCCCCCCAAAACUCCUUUAGCCCACCUUCGGCAACUAAGCAAAGAGGAGCCAACCAAGAGGUCAGGCAAAAAUCCAAGGCCCAAGGGCCUGGAUAGAUGUGACGUCAGACAUGUUCUAAAAAAAUUUGCGUCAAGCGUGUGGGCAACACACGCAAGUGGGCGCAUCUCCGACAUAUUUUCAAACGGAGGGCCCCACAUGUCAACCCCACUCAAUUACCAUUGAAUCUGGACCAUUUGAUUUCUAAAUUGUCCACGUUUUUUGGCUUAAAAAAUUAGAAAUGUAACGGUGGGCCACGUGUCACAAUCUGGACUAUUAGAUUUCAAUUUUUUGGUAAUCCAACGGUCUAGAUUAAUUAAGUUAAUAAAAAUUUGAAAAAUAAUUAAAAAUCUGAAAAAAUAUCAAUAAUUUUUAUAAUUUAUAAUUUUUUUUUUAUAAAUACCUUGCCAUUUUCUCCCACUUUACACCAUAUUUCAAUAUUUCAACGAUUCUAGACAAGUAAGGACACAUCGCAAAACGGAAUUGAUUAAAAAUCUUAUCGAAAUCUAUCUAUAAAAAAUGUACUUUCGGAUAAUAACACGUAGCUUAACGAGAUCGGUUAAAACUCCUAUCAGAAAUUAAAAAUAAAAUUAUUUUUUAUUAUUUUAUAAAAUAAAAAAUACUAAUAUUUUAAUACAAAUUGUUUAAGCUAUUCAGUAUUGUGGUGGAGAUGCAAUAAAUAAUUAUUGUUCAUUAAAGUUGUUACUAUUCACUAAGAGAUUGAAUUGCCUAUGGCCAAGGAGGCCCUUUACAAUUGCUUUUAGGAAGCUUCCAAAGAAUAUUUAACCUUAAAAGAUGCUUUCUGUACUGUACUGAGUGAGUGUAUAUGGUUGCUCAAAUCUGAAUGAGAUUCCAGCAGAGUUGGGGAAGAUGGAAUCUCUAAUAGGGCUUAAUUUUGCUGAAAUUCCAAUAUCUCAAAUACUCAUGAACACCGCUGGGAUGGUCGAAUCAUUCAUGAGGAGAAAUCCAGAAAAUAUUUGGGUCUUUCGGAUGAUGCUUUUCCGAAAGAUUUUGCUAGGCCAAUAAGAUCGACAAGCAUCCCGUCCAGGUCUCUCUCUCUCUCUCACACACUUACAUUUCUUCCUGGGAACGUGCUGCCUUGUCAGUUCAGCCAUAAAAGUAAAGGCCCUUCAUAUCUUGUACUGUGCCAUCACUUCAGGUCUCCGGAUUGGAGGCUUGAACGUACUCUCUCUGUAUAUACAAACAUUGCUCAUUACGAAUGUACUACUAACAACGAUAGUAAAGAUGUUGGGGUUUGCAGCCCAUUGAAUCCAAUAAUGGCUGGCGUUGUUAAUAAGUGAACAAAUCUGAAGUGGAUCUAUGAACCAUCAUGCCUCUGCUUUCCAGAUAGGGGAGAAGCAUGGUAUGCUUCAGCCACUGGAGUUUGGGGAAUCAAUUGAGAGAUGGCAACGAAGUGAAAGUUCCCGAUUUCUGAGAUCCUGGUUCCGGGUAAAGGAGGGGCAUUCAGCUAAUUGUGCACGAGGAAGAAAAUAAUAUGUGCAGUACCCAACGAGAAACAACUGAUCCUUGUUUUUCCGAUCAUUUUUGGACAUUUGGCGUGAUAGGAGUUGAUGCCAAGAACAUACUUCGUCUCCCAUGGACAAAAGGAGAAAGAAAACGUUCAGGGAUUGCAUCAUUCGGUUUUGUUCAAUGACAUAUUGGGGAACUCUACUCAAGAGAAAGAAAGAGAUGUUGGAAACUAAUGUGUUUGUAGUACGUAUUAAUUUCCAUGCAACUGUCAAUGCAGGAAGUUCAUUGUAUAACAAGUAUCCCAGAUUACAUUUAUUCAACUAUGUGCGGGACUUGGAGUAGUCAUGUUUUGGUUGAAAAUGCAAUCAGCUAUUUCAGAUUUUGUCUCUGCAGCAGCAAUGGCAGGUACGAACAUCAAUUUCAAUCUGCUAGUUUGGUUGGUUCGUGUUUUACGAUCCAAAUCUAUAGAAAACUUGCAAAGCCAAUGACAUAUUGGUGGCAAGGAUGAGGAUUACUAGUGUCUUAUUUCAGAUCAUUGCCUCUGAGUACGCGUCUUGCAAAAUUUAGGGCACCAGCGAAACUGAAACCGAGUUUGAGCCAACCGAUCGAAUCAAUGUGUAGACUGAAAUUUUAACUCCCCGUCCAAAACUAACUGAUUUGAUUAUAAGUUCAUUCCAUACCGACCGAACCAGACCGGAAUAGGGUUAUUAUAUACAUUCUAAUAUGAAAGGGGGUCAUUCGAAUUCGAGCGUAUCUAAAUAGGUGAAAUUACAAAAUUAAACACUGAGUUGCCGCCCAAAUUAAUUGGUGGCGCCAUUGAAAUAGCGUCUAAAAUCCCUAUUUUCCUUUGAUAUUCUACACAUCUGCAUAAUUCUCAUUUCUUUAUUUAGGCAAUGAAAACUUGAGCACAAGAAACAAUAAUCGAUAGACUGCUAAUGAUAUUGAAAUCGGAUUCAUGACAACAAAAGAUUUUGCCGAAAACCAGGUAAAUUUUUCAAACGCCAUAAGGACAAAAUCAAAUCGGGCUAAAGGGGUCUAACCACAUCAAUGUAAAACUCAAGCAAAUGCAAAUAUUCAACAAAUUUAUGUUACUCAAAUCCUGAUUUUCAAUUUAAAACAUUAAAGUAAGGAAGUGGGCUGUUCAUUUCGAAUUCAAGAGAUUACAGAAUCCAAAUUCAUCAAUCCAUGCCACCACAAAUUUCAGAUCAUUGUAUUUCAUCCAAUAGAUAAGAUAUUACAUAUCUACUAACCAGAAACCCUACACACUAACACAUAAAGAUCCACUCUUCCAAGCCCUAAAAGACGCAGACGACGAACAGAACAGAACCCACCACACUU
rnacentral:lncRNA from 1 species